UUAGGUGGGGACUUCCUAUCAGGAAAAUGACAGAACAUCCCAGAACAUUUGAUGUCCAACAAGUGUUGUACAGUGCAUCCAAAAAUUAUUCACUGCCUUUGCCAUGAAGGUCAAAAUUGAGCUGAGGUGCAUACCGUUUCCACUGAUCAUCCCUGAGAUGUUUCUACAGCUUAAACCGAGUCCACCUGUGGUAAAUUGGGCUGAUUGGACAUGAUUAGGAGAGGCACACAUAGUGCAUGUCAGAGCGCAAAGCGUGAAGUUUAAGCAAUUAUCUGUAGACCUCAGAGUCUGGAUGGAGGCCCAAAUCUGGGGGAGGAGACAGAACAAUUUCUGCUGCUUUGAAGGUCCCCAUGUGCACAGUGGCCUCCAUCAGAACCAUUGUGACCAAGAAUCCCAAAGUCACUAUCAGAGGCUCUGUGGAGAGAGGAGACCCUUCCAGAAGGACAAUCAUCUCUGCAGCAACCCACCAGUCUGGCCUAUAUGGUAGACUGGCCAGACGAAAGCCUCUUCUUAAUAAAAGGCACAUGGAAGCCCAUCAGCAGUUUGCCAAGAGGCACCUGAAGGACUCUCAGACCAUGAGAAACGAAAUUCUCUGCUCUGAUGAGACAAAGAUAGAACUCUUUGUUUCAUCUUUGAACUCGUUGCCCCAGUCGACCUCAGAACGGUUGAUUUUUCGGCAGGACAACAACCCAAAGCACACAGCCAAGAUCUCAAAGGAGUUGCUUCAGAACCACUCUGUUAAUGUUCUGGAGUGGCCAAGCCCGAGUCCAGACUUAAAUCUGACUGAACAUCUCUGGAGAGAUCAGAACAUGGCUGCACACAGAAGUCCAGCCUGAUGGGAGCUUGGGAUGUUCUGCAAAGAAGAAUGGAUCAAACUGCCUAAAGAUAGCAGGCGGGUCCAGGAUGAUAAAAGAUCUGAAGACAAUCGGUACCACCCCCACCUUUUGGUCACAGUGGUUGAAACAGGUCGAGGAAGAAGAAUGGGCCGAUGUGUAACGUUACUGUGAGG